AUUGAACGCUGGCGGCAGGCCUAACACAUGCAAGUCGGGCGAGCGGCGGACGGGUGAGUAAUGUAUGGGGAUCUGCCUGAUGGAGGGGGAAAACUACUGGAAACGGUAGCCAAUACCGCAUGCCAUCAGAUGACCCCAUAUGGGAUUAGCUUGUGGGUAUGUUAACGGCUUACCUAGGCGACGAACCCUCGCUGGUCUGAGAGGAUGAUGAGCCACACGGGGACUGGAACAGGGCCCAAACCCCUGUGGGAGGCGGAAGUGGGGAAUUCCGCACAUUGUGGGCAAGCCUGCGACGGCAACCCCGCCUAGAUGAAGAAGGCCUUCGGGUUGUAAAGUACUUUUAGUCGGGAGGCGUUACCGACAGAAGAAGCACCGGCUAACUCCGUGCCAGCAGCCGCGGUAAUAC
rnacentral:rRNA from 1 species